rnacentral:lncRNA from 1 species
UCUCUCUCAUUUUCGCUUCUCUCAUUUCCACAUAUCCCACAAUCUCUGCAUCUCUCUCUCCUCCCACUCCUUUCCUUUCCCUGUUUGCAUCUCUCUCUUCCGACUGCGCCGUGGGUUUGCAUCUUGACUCUCUACACUGUGCGUGAAUAGGUCUAUCGUCCGUGGUCUGUCAUGAGUGGUGCAUCUGUGGUCUACCGUCUUCAAAGGUAUGUAACAUUGUCAUUUGGUUUCAGUUGUUUUCUUUUGGUGUUAGUGCUUUAUUUCGGCUCCAUGAAUUCUGAUUUAGGGAUUCUUCAUUCCUAUAAUGUUUUCUGAUUUAGGGCUUUUUGAUUUAGGGAUGUAGGGCUUUUUAAUUAACAUAAAUCACAGAAACUUUGAGCUUUUAUAUUCUUGAAUUCUUACUUGUUUCUUGAAACUCAUGUAUUUUGUUCUUCAAUUUGCUCCUUCUUCAAACGGCAAAAUUUUCUUCGCAUUUUCAAAUUUCUGCUUUUUCCCCUCAAUUUUCUGUUCUUAAUCAGAAAAUGGAAACUGUUUUUCUUUGUUUUGUGUUAGAUUGUAAGAAUAUUGUCUUUGUAUUAUUUAGAUUGUGUCCACAGCAUAGAUGCACAAUGCAUGUUAGAAGAGUAAGAAUAAAGGUAAAAAUAGCCAUUGGAAUUUGAUAUAGUAUAUCAAAGGUGGCCAAGUAAUUGAACUAGUUGUGAAAUUUGGUCAAUCAUUUAUUAUAUUCAUGUUCUCUCAGUUUGCUUUAGUGUAAGUUCCCUUUAUACUUUUAGUGCCUCCUUUUAGUCCUUGUUUUCGUGGUCUUCUCGAUCUGGGUUUUCAUUGAAUACACUGUUUUAGUGUUCUUAAUGGAGGCUAAAUUAUUUUGAGUAAAAUUAGAAUGAGAUCUAUUUAAUGUUAAUAUUCUAAUCUAGCAAGUUAUUUUGAAGAAUGAGAGGUGAUAUACCUGGAAAACAUCGAAUGAGUGCCUUAAAAUCCUUUCCAUAUAUACCUUACUAUACAAGGAGUUGAACCUUGCCCCUCCCCUCUCAACAAGAAAAGAAAAUAGAAGCAGCUUUUACCUGCCUGCUAAACAAGAAAAAAAAAAUAAAAGAACUAGAAAAUAAAAGAGAACAGUACCUCCUAAUCAAGUAAGUUUCUGGUAUGGUAUGGAUCAUUUCUGCAUGGAUUUUUUAGAACAGUACCGCCUAAUCAAGUAAGUUUCUAGUAAGUUUGGUAAGCUUUUGCUAUUUGACAUUUCACUUGAAGACUUUUGAGCAAUUGGUGGUAUGUGACUAUAAUUAAACACAUUAUUUGAUGAUAAUUUGAUUUAUAUCAAUAUAGCUUCAACAUGGGUGGUCACAGAGUAAGGAAUGAAGAACCAGUGUCAUGGUCAGAUGAGAAUGAACAAGCUUUUAUC